AUUGAACGCUGGCGGCAUGCCUUACACAUGCAAGUCGAACGGUAACGGGCCUUCGGGUGCCGACGAGUGGCGAACGGGUGCGUAAUACAUCGGAACGUGCCCGAUCGUGGGGGAUAACGAGGCGAAAGCUUUGCUAAUACCGCAUACGAUCUACGGAUGAAAGCAGGGGACCGCAAGGCCUUGCGCGGACGGAGCGGCCGAUGGCAGAUUAGGUAGUUGGUGGGAUAAAAGCUUACCAAGCCGACGAUCUGUAGCUGGUCUGAGAGGAUGAUCAGCCACACUGGGACUGAGACACGGCCCAGACUCCUACGGGAGGCAGCAGUGGGGAAUUUUGGACAACGGGCGCAAGCCUGAUCCAGCCAUGCCGCGUGCAGGAUGAAGGCCUUCGGGUUGUAAACUGCUUUUGUACGGAACGAAAAGCCUUCUUUUAAUACAGGAGGGUCAUGACGGUACCGGAAGAAUAAGCACCGGCUAACUACGUG
rnacentral:rRNA from 1 species